rnacentral:rRNA from 1 species
CCUACGGGAGGCAGCAGUGAGGAAUAUUGGACAAUGGUCGGAAGACUGAUCCAGCCAUGCCGCGUGAAGGAAUAAGGUCCUAUGGAUUGUAAACUUCUUUUGAGAGGGAGCAAUAAGGUGUACGUGUACACCGAUGAGAGUACCUUUCGAAUAAGCAUCGGCUAACUCCGUGCCAGCAGCCGCGGAUAA